GUAGGUGAACCUGCGGAGGGAUCAUUAACACGUUUCCAUAAAAAACGUAUUUCUAACCAAAUAACCACGUGAACUAAAACCAACUCCCUUCAUAGUCGGACGAGGGAUAAUCAUCAGGGUGGAUUUUCCUUAUAUAAAGGGGAUAAUUCGUAUCAGGACUGCAUCGCAUUCGUGUGUUGUAGAGACCAAUGCGGUUAUCUCUGGGGGAUCUAUGACUCGCUCUAGGGACUCGUCGAGGUCUCAAUCCGCU
rnacentral:misc_RNA from 1 species